CUGAAUGUCUUUGUUUGUUCGGUGGCAUUUGGGUUUGAGUAAAGUUGCUGUUGCUCUUCAGGAAGACUCUAGACUCUGUGCUGUAAGCAUGAAUAUAUUUCUCUCAGCUGCUGGCAAAAUUCAAAGUCAACACUUAAAACUACUGGAAAGCUAGCGAUGUAGAUAUUAACAGUGGGUUCAGAAACAACUAGCAUUAUUUAAGCUAGCAAGUAUAGCUAUAGAGUAUAGCUAACACUGUGAAUAUGCAAAGCUGCUAUUUGCAACAAUAUAAAGAUACAAGUAAUAAUAAAAAUAUUCAUAGUUACAAAAGUUAAGAUAUAGACCCACCAGUGGUAACAACAGCAAGUUCAGAAACAACUAGCAUUAUCUAAGCUAGCAAGUAUAGCUAUAGAGUAUAGCUAACACUGUUAUUAUGCAAAGCUGCUAUUUGCAACAAUGUAAAGAUACAAGUUAUAAUACAAAGAUUCAUAGUUACAAAAGUUAAGAUAUAGACUAGGGCCCGACCGAUUUAUCGGCAAGCCGAUUGAAUCAGACAGUUUUAGGCCGUUUGAGACUAAUCGGUAAUCGGCCAAAACUCGCUGAUUUUCGCCGAUAUUUUCAGAAAUAAAAUGCAGAGAGUAGGAUUUGGUUUCACUUCAAAAAUGUUCUGCCAUUUGAAAAGUUCCCUGACCUAUACUGUAGAUGGCGCAGCGACCUCAUGACAAUCUUCAUCCACUAAUCUAUCUAUUUUUUAUCUAUUUUAUCUAUAUCUAUUUUUUCAUAACUACAUUAAAAACUACAUUUAAAAAAUCAGCCGAUUAAUCAGUAAUCAGAUUUUUUCCCCCCUAAUAAUCGGAAUCGGCAUCGGCCCCAAAAAAUCCAUAUCGGUCGGGCCCUAAUAUAGACCCACCAGCGGUAACAACAGCGAGUUAAGAAACAACUAGCAUUUUUUAAGCUAGCAAGUAUUGCUAUAGAGUAUAGCGAACACUGUUAAUAUGCAAAGCUGCUUUUUUAAACAAUAUAAAGAUACAAGUAAGUAAAGAUAUAGACCCACCAGUGGUAACAUUUAGAGCUACUUAAGUCAACAUUUAAAGGUUUCUUUUUUGCCAAUAUUUCAAGAAUUCAAUCAUAGACUCAAAGCUACCAGUUUGGAUAUUUAAAUCUACACUUAAGUCAGUUAACUUUUGCUAACAUAUAAAGGUUUUGGCCUUAAUUUUUUGCCACUGUUAACAAGUUUUUUUGAAUAUGUGACAAGUGGAGGAAUAAUGUCAAAAUCCUUUGUGUUAAAUAAAGGUUCAACAAACCAAGAGAGAUGCUAAUGUCACUCUCCAAGUGUCGUCCCUAGCUUGUUCACUCCAGGAAUUUCCUGAGUAAGAGGAAGUUGUCGAGUGUAUCACCAACAGACGUCAGGGGCUCUCCCUGACUUUCCAGGAGCUAUUGUCCUCGCCGCACAUUUCACAUUAGCCCAGGCUCUGUGUGUGCUGCUCACACGGCUCAGCGGUGUUAGUGGGUAAAAUGAGUUUACCCGGCGCUCCACUGAGCAAACAAUAAAGAGGACACAGAGGCGUUUUACAGGUCAGCUUGUGUAAAUAAUGGUGUGGAAGGUGUGAGCUUGUUUGUCUAAACUGUAGCCUGUGGCACAGAGUGGAAAAUAGCAUGGCAGGACCCCCCUCUAUUUCAUUGAUACCUCUCAUUUGUGAUAUUAUCUCCAGAGCUGCUGUAAUGGAUUCAUUUUGAUGCAUGUGCUCUUGUGAGGAUCACUACAGAUGCUUCUGAAUGGAGUUUCCCAUAAUGUGGAAAAGUAAGCAGGGGGAAACACAGCGAGCUGAGACUGUAAUUAUGUUUACCAGGAUAAAAACCCUACUUUUGGCUUGUUGUAGUACCACAGUAAACAUUUUCCUAAUGUCUUUAUGCUCUCAUUUGCUACUUUAAUAUCUUCCUAAAUACCACAGGAUGCUCAUUUUGGAAAUUAAGGUCUCAUUUAGAGUCAAAUAGAUGAUACAGAGGGGUACGCUUGGGGCUGCAUGCGGAGAAGUCCACUGCGCUGCAACCUGUCAACCAAUCUCCACACAGAUCUACCAAGAAACCCAGCAAAUGGUACAAGACAAGCUUAAAUCAAAAUUUGACACUCUUUGUUUGAAAAUCACGGAUGCUGCAUCCUCUAUGCAUAUGUAAGUCGUCGCAUAUUUCAGCAAGGCAAUGCCAAAUUACAUUCUGAAUGUUUUACAACAGCACGGCUCUGUAGUAGAAGAGUCCUGGUGCCAAACUGGAAACCCUGCAGUCAUUGCUAAACCCCAAGACCCGAGCUGGAAUCCCAUUUUAGGCAAGAAUGGGAAAACAUAUAACUCUCAAAACUCCAAAAACUGAUCUACUAAGUGUGAUGCAAGCCAUGCUAAGAGACCAAUGUGGCCCACAGACUCAUUAUUAUGACACAUACUCUUCUUUGCCUCCAACUCCCUGAAGUCACUGUCAAACAAUUGCAUUAACUUUAUGAAAAAAUAAAAAUACUCUGCUGAUUUCUGACCUUUUCCUCUAAGUUAAUGCAAUUGGAGGCAGGUUCAGCGUUUAAAUGUGCUCACUGACCCUCCAUUGUUCUCAUACAAGACUUUACGUGACAUUUCCAACGAUCGAUACUGAAACUCAGUGUGUCUGGAGGUUUCGCUGCCCGGCUGAAAUGCACCACAAAGGUUGGGGACCAACUAUUGCAUUAACCUAUAUCAAGGGCAGGGUUUGCUCUUCUUGUGUGUGGUUUUUGUCCCCUCAUUGUGAUGCUGGAUUUACACUUGUGAUCUGGUGUAGCAGCUUAAACAGCUCAGUCCUGUUUCCCCCAACCCCCCUAAAAGGCACCUUGGAUAGACUUCAGUGAGAAGCAGAAAAUGGUUACUCAUUCAAUUUUCCCUCAUGGGCCCUGGAAUCUGAACCGCUGACCUUCCUUUGCAAGACCACUCCACUCUCCUUUAGGGCCAACACUGCCCCACUUUCUUACAAAACAUCAGGCCAGAGUUGGUUCAGAGUGUUGCAGUUUUUUUGCUGCUAACACUGCAGCUGCACUCGUACGAGCGGGCGGUCUUUCGGCUCCACGAUCCCAUGAGGAUCUUUACAGCCGAGUCACAGCUCAGAAAUAGAGCAGACUUCAAAAAAAGAUAGAGCCGUGGCACUCCAGGGGGAGCUGUGCAUGGAUUCUAUAGGCAUUGUAAUGAAAGGGAGUGUGUGGUACGCAAACUCAGGGAUAUUUCAGUUUAAAACAAACAGGUAAUGGCAGCAUUUUGGGAAUCUAUCAAUAGAAGUAAGCAUCAAUAAACAUAUAUACAGUAAAACCCUAACAAGAACCAAAGACUGUAGUCAAAUCAUAUGAUUUUUUUUAUCAUCCUGUGUUAUUCUAAGCUCAAUAGAGGCCUUUUCACAUCCAUUCUUAGUAUAUAUAUGCAUGGUUAGUGAUGUAAAAGGUCUCCUCUUUGUGUCUUUGAGUUUAAAGGAUCAAUACUCAAACUAUCCAGCAGAUGUCACUGUUAAGUUUCAGGAGAAAGAGCAUACAGACAGCAGUGAUUUCAUCAUGGGAGGUAGCAGGCAACACAAUGUCCUCUGAACCUCUCUAAACAAAGACAUGUUUCACGGUUAUUUAUGUUCAUACACUACAAAUAUUCAAAUUUUAACAAAUUUAUGCAACAUGUGUAGUUAAAUGUCUUUUGCUGAGCAAAAAUAAAGACCUGUAUUAUAUAAAAUUAGCAUUUCAAGGACUAUGAGUGAAUUAAUUUCCUGUGUUGUAGAUUAUUUACACAUUACAAGCAAUUUGGGUCACAUUUUUUUGCAUGUAGCGCCUUAAAAAUGGACAUUUAUUUGGAUUCAGUUGAAGGAGGGAGAUUUAUUUGGACUAAAAGGCACAAAAAACUUGUUUUGUUUGAGUUAAACGGUGAAUUCAAUAUCUGAGUUGAUCAAAAAGACAAAAAACAAAGAACUUAAUCUCUUUAAUUGGGUUGGUGUGCAGAUGUGUAGUACCCUUACUUUUAAAGUUAACCCCUUGCAGGCACUUUUUUUAAACAUGCUGGGACUAUUUAGGAGCGGCAACUACCUUUUCCUGCCCUCUCAGUAUUACAGUUCCUGAUGUACACCCUUUCUAAAACUUAGGGUAAGGCAGUGGUUCUCAAGUCCAGUCCUUGAGGUCCACUGUCCUGCAUGUUUUGGAUGUUUCCCUGCUCCAACACACCUGAUUCAAAUGAUUAGCUCGUUAGUAAGCCACUACAGAGCUUGAUAACGAGCUGAUCAUUUGAAUCAGGUGUGCUGGAGCAGAGAAACAUCCAAAACAUGCAGGACAGUGGGCCUCAAGGACUGGACUUAAGAACCACUGGGGUAAGGACCCAGUGGCGAGUUUUAUUGGGUCGCAAAGACAGAAGUCUUCAACUGGGGAUGCCAAACAAACCAUUGCAAUGGAGAAGAAAGCUUUAAUUGACCGUUUGUAAUAUGUUUUAAUGAAUAAAAUUUUGAUCUGGAGAUUUUAUUUUGGGGUCUUCUACAUGACAUGAUCUCUUGUUCCUCCCCUAAUAUACAUUCCCAAUGGCAUGCUUUCGUGGGUGUAACGCCACUGCACUUGUCUGUUUUUGCUGUAGAAUAAUAUAAUUUUGAAUAAAUGCACGCUGUGUUACUCAGCAUUAUUCUCUGAGAUCUUAUAUUCACUGUAGAAAUACACAAGGUAAGACUUAUGAUUUACUGAUACCGACCCAAUCAUACACGAUUGAAUAAGGGGAGAACCGCCACUUCCUUUAUCAACUAUUUUCAACUUAAAAUGAGAAAUUCCAGGAAUGAAAUGCAGGCCGUCUGACUCUGAGUCAUGAUUAUCACAGGGUUUUUCCUGCGUUCAAAAUUGCGUGGCGGCCGCCUCCACCUAAUUUUGGGCCGCCCCCAGCAAGAGCGAUUGAUUUCGCUCAACACAGCGUAAAGCUCCAGCUGUGUUGAUUGAGCGAUUGAUGUCCCUCUGCAGCAGCAACGUAUUUUAACUGCAGUUGCAGCGUUGCGCCACUGUAGAGGCGCUAUAUCAACAGCAGUGCACCGGAAAGACCUGAAGCAUCUACCGAAGAAGAAACGGAUCGAAUCAUGUUUUUUCAAGUUUUUUUCCCGCUAGUUGGUGCUAUCGGCGUCCUGAUUUUCCCUGGCGGAUGGUACAAACAGGUAAAUACUGCUUGUCUUUUUUACAUCCGAGCAUGAUUUAUUUAAAAAAAAAAAGUUUCCUCC